UGAAAAAAAAAAAAAAAAAAAAAAAAAAAAAA
rnacentral:ribozyme from 1 species